GAUUGGGUCGGAACGUGGAUCCUAUGAUGCGAAAGAAAAGAGAUGUACCCGAUGGGGGUGUUGAUGACAUAGAAAGUAGUGUUAAUGUCAAAGAACAAACGAGUGGCAUCCAAAUGUUAAAUGAUGACGAGUGGCAUUAAUGUAGUGUAAAUAACACUAGAGGUUUGAGAACCUAGGGAUAGGUGGAUCCCUUAGAAAAUGCCUUGUGAACAAUGAAUUUAGAAAACUAAAUAGCAUUGCAUGAAUGUCGGGAACCGAUGAUUCCGCGAUAGUCGUUGACCCUAGUGUAGGGCGUCCUCACUUGGAGAGGAUUCGAUUGGGUUAUUGACUCUAGUUGUAGAGCCUCCUCACUUGGAGAGGAUUGGAUUGGGUGUUGACCCUAGUUACAGUGUAUCCUCACAUGGAGAGGAUAGAUCUAGCUCACAGUCUGCGUUUAGGGUGGUAUAGCCAUCCAAUCCCCACAUGGAGGGGAUUGUCGUCGAGUACUCCGGAGUGUCGCGCGACUAGGACCACUUGGAGGUCCGGACCACAUGGAGGUCCGCAGACGGUCCCGGGCUUGGGUGCACUUGGAGCUCCCUCCCCACUUUGGGAUUGAAAGGUGAGUCAUGGGCGAGCCCUAGGGCCUCGCCACAGAUUGGGUAAAUGGAAAGGUUAUUAAUGUCAUUGAACAUUGCUAUUCGAACAUGGAUCGAAUUUGUUAGCAUGAUAGCAAACCUUUAUUAUAUGAUGCAUGCAUUCAUAUUCAUGAUUAUGGGCAUAGUAGCAUAGUUUUCCUACUACUGCAUUUACAGCUUUCAGAUACAUAUCUAUCUAUCUAUCUGUUGUUACUUGUGCCCACUUGGACCUAGUGGGGAGAUCGGCAGAGUCAGCGGCCGAGCCCACUGGGAACUAUGGAAGAUAGUUCUCACCCCACUCUAU
rnacentral:lncRNA from 1 species